rnacentral:lncRNA from 1 species
AUGAGAAGAAGAAGAAGAGAAAAAAAAGAAAAAAAGAAGGAAAAGAAGAAGAAGGAACUGACACUGCGCGUGGCGGCUGGUCACACAAUUUCACAAAUUCAUGCAUGUUUUCAACUCAUUCUCACUAGAUUCGUAUCGUAUCUAAGUGCAUGAGGCAGUUUGUGGUGAUUUUUGGCCAAUUUGUGGUGGUUCCAACAACAAUGCAUGGUGGUCAAGUAGUAGCACAUAGCAGCGCAUGGAGGCAAAGUGUAGAUUUCAGUAGUUAUGUGUGGUGAGUUUAGAAACUUGGGAACCUUCAAUGCUUUAAAUUUAAUUAAUACAUAGGUUAAUAAUUCGUUUAGACCAUUUAGAAUGUGAGUUAGGAGCUAAUUUUGCUUCACCAUUGACUAAAGUAGAAUACACUAGGACAUGGAAGAUUUCGCAUUCAGAGAAAUUUCUGGGAAUUAGAUUCGAAGGUGGAAAAAGAUAAGUCCAUAAGUGCUUAUGAAUAUAGUUUAAUUUGUUUAAGAUAUUAAAUUAUGGCAUCAAAUAAUUGAUUGUUUUAUUUUAAAUUAUAAAUUAUGUGGAUCUAACAGGACUUUAUUAUUUAUUGUGUCUUUCUUGUAUUUAUUACUGAAAUUAUUGAUGAUUUGUUAUGCUCUAGUUUGUAAUUGAAUAUGUAUAUGUAUUGGCUGUUAUGGUAUGAACUGUGAGGAUAUUGGAGGUACCUAGAAGAAUCUAGUUUGAUGAUUAUGUAUAAUUUGUGCGGUUAAGUGGAUUGGAUUGUUAAAAUAAGGUAAUAAUCAAAAUUAGGAAAUUAAUAGGUGAAUAAAUAAAAUCAGAGAAGAAUACACAUAAGGAAUUUUAGAUAGGAUGGUAGAUACACUGUAAUUUAAAAUACAGUACAAAGAAAUAUUAAAGAAAUGAAAAAUCAUUUAGCCAGCAUCACCGAGGGGCAGAUGUGUGUGUAGUCUUUUAGUGUGUGACUAUGGUGAACCCCACCCAUGCAUACGUCUUUAGUCAAAUGUGGCUAAGCGAUAAAUACUGUGGAAUUGUGAACUGUAUACUGUGUACUGUGAACUAUGAACUAUGAACUAUGAACUUUGAACUUUGAACUGUGAACUAUUAACUAUGAACUGUGAACUGUGAUAUGUGAAGUGUGAACUAUUAUGUAUCCAUGUGGUAGAGGAGAUCCUUAUUACCCUCGUUGAUACCAAUGGAAAUGACAUCACAAGGAUGAAACUAUUUUAAUAAGUUAUAGGAUCAUAGGAAUGAAUAUAAAGUUAUGUGUAAAACUUGAUAUUGAAAUAUUGAAUUGAUGUUUACUGAAUUAUUUAUAUCUUAUAUUAUUACACUGAAUACUGAAUGUUGAUGUUAUUAAACUGUUUACUGCUUAAAUAUAUGAAUAAACUAAAUAUCACAUAUUUUUGAAAAAUGAAAGGAAAAGUGUUUUCAAACUCUCUCCAUUGGUAAUUCUAUGUUUUCUAUCAACUUAGAUGAGUUACUAUAUUAUUUCUGGUAGUUACCCACUUACCAAAUGCAUUAUCUCACUAUAUUCAUCAUUUAUCUUUUACAUAUCAGAAUACCCAAAAUCGCACUCCU